rnacentral:rRNA from 1 species
AGCGAACGCUGGCGGCAGGCCUAACACAUGCAAGUCGAACGCCCCUUCGGGGGAGUGGCGGACGGGUGAGUAACACGUGGGAACGUGCCCUAUGGUACGGAACAACUGAGGGAAACUUCAGCUAAUACCGUAUAAGCCCUUGGGGAAAGAUUUAUCGCCAUUGGAGCGGCCCGCGUUGGAUUAGGUAGUUGGUGGGGUAAAGGCCUACCAAGCCUACGAUCCAUAGCUGGUCUGAGAGGAUGAUCAGCCACACUGGGACUGAGAC